AUGGACACAAAAUCACUUAAGUGUUUUUAAUAAACCAUGGAUCUCAAUAGACAAAAGUUACUGUUUAGAAAAAUGCCCCCCAUAACUUUUGGCUGUAGGAAAAUCUCUGUUUACCUUAUUACUUUGAAAUUCAUUUUAAUGUUGGCAUCAAACUACUUACUGAAACAUUCAAUCCAGCUCCAGUAACAAAAUCAUGAAAUAGCUCAAUUGACCUAAGCCACCCCUCUGAUUAGCAGAACGUUAUUG